rnacentral:rRNA from 1 species
GAUGAACGCUAGCGACAGGCCUAACACAUGCAAGUCGAGGGGCAGCACAUGAGUAGCAAUACGAUGGUGGCGACCGGCGCACGGGUGAGUAACACGUAUGCAACCUACCUGUAAGAGGGGAAUAACCCGGAGAAAUUCGGACUAACACCGCAUAAUACCUCGAAGCUGCAUGGCUUUGAGGUUAAAUAUUUAUAGCUUACAGAUGGGCAUGCGUAACAUUAGAUAGUUGGUGAGGUAACGGCUCACCAAGUCAACGAUGUUUAGGGGUUCUGAGAGGAAGGUCCCCCACACUGGUACUGAGACACGGACCAGACUCCUACGGGAGGCAGCAGUGAGGAAUAUUGGUCAAUGGGCGAGAGCCUGAACCAGCCAAGUCGCGUGAAGGAAGAAGGUUCUAUGGAUUGUAAACUUCUUUUGUAAGGGAAUAAAAAGAGUUACGUGUAACUUAUUGUAUGUACUUUACGAAUAAGGAUCGGCUAACUCCGUG